rnacentral:rRNA from 1 species
AAUCAACGCUGGCGGCGUGCCUCAGACAUGCAAGUCGAACGCGAAAUUUCCCUUCGGGGAGAAAGUAGAGUGGCGCACGGGUGAGUAACACGUAGGUAAUUUGCCUUUGGGUGGGGAAUAACUCAGGGAAACUUGAGCUAAUACCGCAUAAUGCAGCGGCUCGACAUCGAGACAGUUGUUAAAGCGGGGGAUUGGAGUAAUCCGACCUCGCGCCUAAAGAGAAGCCUGCGGCAGAUAGCUAGUUGGUAAGGUAAUGGCUUACCAAGGCUACGAUCUGUAACCGGCCUGAGAGGGCGGUCGGUCACACUGACACUGACAUACGGGUCAGACUCCUACGGGAGGCAGCAGUCGGGAAUUUUGGGC